GGUUGUCGUCAGCUCGUGUCGUGAGAUGUGGUUAAGUCCGCAACGAGCGCAACCUCGACCUUAGUUGCCAGCAUUCAGUUGGGCACUCUAAGGUGACUGCCGGCUAAAAGUCGGAGGAAGGUGGGGAUGACGUCAAAUCAUCAUGCCCCUUAUGACCUGGGCUACACACGUGCUACAAUGGGCGGUACAAAGGGUCGCGAACCCGCGAGGGGGAGCCAAUCCCAAAAAGCCGCUCUCAGUUCGGAUUGCAGGCUGCAACUCGCCUGCAUGAAGCCGGAAUCGCUAGUAAUCGCGGAUCAGCAUGCCGCGGUGAAUACGUUCCCGGGCCUU
rnacentral:rRNA from 1 species